AUGGCGGCGACUCGUCCGCUCCUCUACCUCGGCGUUCUGCUCCUGUUCCUGGCCAUGGCGGCAUCGGGAGCGGCGGCGUUCGGCCUCCCGCGAGGCGUGUCGCCUGCGUACUGCGCCAACGAGUUCCUGCAGUACCACGGGAUCUCGCAGAACGAAAAGGCGGCCAUCCACCUCGGCAACACCAAGUCCUGCAUCGCCGGCUACGGAGGCCGACUGGAUCCCUACACCGCGUACCAGCUCUGCAUCCCCUCCUGGGUUGCCUUCACAGACAACGGUACCCUCGUCGGAGAGGCCGCCAUGAACCACGCCGCCGUCAGCCCCGGGACAGCCGUUUCCGGCUUCAAGCGACUCCUCGGCAUCAGGAUGUACAACGAGAUGGUGAAGAGAGAAGCAGAGUUAGUGCCGUACCAAUUCACCGAACAGCUGGGAAGAUGCGGCAUCCAGAUGGAGACCGAGGAUGGCCACGUGAUGAAUUUCCUUCCCGAGCGUGUGGCCGGCAUCCUCAUGGCCGAGCUUAAGAAGAUGGCGGAGGCGCGCCUGGGCCGCGAGAUCGAGAGCGCCCUUGUCACCGUCCCCGGGCACUUCAAUGGUGCCCAACGGAGUUCGGUCAGGAGAGAAGCUGCGCGCUUGCACGGUGGCUUCGGUGUCGCCAAGGUCGUCGACGAGCAGGUCGCGGCAGCCGCGGCAUAUCGCCUUCACGAGAAGAGGGGCGACGGCAAGGUCAUCCUCGUCUUCCAUCUCGGCGGCCGCACGAGCCACGCUACAAAGUUCAGAUUCAAGGAUGGCACGGGUCAUCUCCUCGAGGAACGCCAUGAUGCCUACCUCGGCGGCGACGACUUCACUGACAGGAUUGUGGACCAUUUCGUGGAGUUGAUCAGGGAGAGGCGUCACCGUGAUAUCCGUGGGGACGAGGGCGCUCUCAAGAAGCUGAGAGCAGCCUGCGAGAGGGUCAAGAAGUUACUGAGCGACCGAGAUGGCGUUCUGAUGAACAUCGGACCGGUUCUCGGCGAAGGCGCAGAUAUCUACGAGGAGCUCACGCGGGCCAAGUUCGAGGAGCUGAACCGUGACCUCAUCGAGAGAGCACUGGAAAUAGAGGACACGGUAGUGAUGGGAGGUGCUCCCACUUCCCAAACGCAGAGCCGCAAGGACGCCAUCGACGAGGUCAUUCUCGUCGGUGGCAGUGUGAGGAUCCCCAUGGUUGGGCAGCUCCUCGAGGAUUACUUCAAUGGUAGAGGGCUAAUCAGGGACGAAGACGCCGUAAUCCGGGGCGCUGCUCUUCUGUCACGUCCCGAGUCUGCUAGAUACGUGGAUGAAUGCUACAAGGGAGGAGUCUCGGGGCCUGUCUGGUUGGCAAAAUAA
rnacentral:rRNA from 1 species